CGUAGGUGGCAAGCGUUGUCCGGAAUUACUGGGUGUAAAGGGCGUGUAGGCGGGACUGCAAGUCAGAUGUGAAAUCCCGGGGCUUAACCCCGGAGCUGCAUCUGAAACUGUGGUUCUUGAGUGCUGGAGAGGGAAGCGGAAUUCCUAGUGUAGCGGUGAAAUGCGUAGAUAUUAGGAGGAACACCAGUGGCGAAGGCGGCUUUCUGGACAGUAACUGACGCUGAGGCGCGAAAGCGUGGGGAGCAAACAGGAUUAGAUACCCUGGUAGUCCACGCUGUAAACGAUGGAUACUAGGUGUAGGAGGUAUCGACCCCUUCUGUGCCGGAGUUAACACAAUAAGUAUCCCACCUGGGGAGUACGGCCGCAAGGUUG
rnacentral:rRNA from 1 species